rnacentral:lncRNA from 1 species
GUGUGAGAGCACAUUUUUUCAGAGCAUAUCUCCUUCCAUUUCUAUGAUGAGUGCUCUUAUGUGACAAAAUUAUAUAUUGGAAAGGUUGAGUUAUACUCUUAAUGAAUCCAAGAUAAGAAAUAUGCAGGGUAUUAAGUCACAAAUACCCUUAGAGGAUUUACAUAUGUGAGAAUUGUUGUAUAGGCUGCGACUAGGGGUUUGGGCUAACCCUAAUAAAAUGUUCGUAAAAAAAUCAAUGUAUCAAGCGCAAGGCCUUUUAAUGGUGCUGACCUUAUAAAGACCUAAUUGAUCCAUAUUGUAUGUGUUAUAAGUAGAAGUUUGAGUCCAAGGACCAAGUUCAAGGUCUAAUCUACUAUGGUAAUUCCUUCAGAUAGAUAAAUACUAUCAACACUAAGUGAGGUUUAAGUCUAUGGGACCUCUUACCCAUUUCACAGUAUAAGUUGUUCAGAUAUUCUACUAUAUAUUUUUUAAAAAAAAUUUAAAUCUUUUGUGAGGGAUUGUUGGAGUUUUAAUUAAAAAAAUUAAUUUUUUUAUCUCUUAACCCUUAGUUGUUUUAAAUAUUUUAAAAUACUUUUUUGUAAGACACCUAUUUUAGAAAAGUUGUGACCUUUAGAAGAGAACGUUGGCUUCCGAAAAGAUACGGUGUUUCUGAAAUGUUACGUAUCUU